rnacentral:rRNA from 1 species
GAUGAACGCUAGCUACAGGCUUAACACAUGCAAGUCGAGGGGAAACGACAUCGAAAGCUUGCUUUUGGUGGGCGUCGACCGGCGCACGGGUGAGUAACGCGUAUCCAACCUGCCCACCACUUGGGGAUAACCUUGCGAAAGUAAGACUAAUACCCAAUGAUAUCCCACGAAGGCAUCCGAAUGGGAUUAAAGAUUUAUCGGUGAUGGAUGGGGAUGCGUCUGAUUAGCUUGUUGGCGGGGUAACGGCCCACCAAGGCAACGAUCAGUAGGGGUUCUGAGAGGAAGGUCCCCCCACAUUGGAACUGAGACACGGUCCAAACUCCUACGGGAGGCAGCAGUGAGGAAUAUUGGUCAAUGGGCGAGAGCCUGAACCAGCCAAGUAGCGUGCAGGAUGACGGCCCCUAAUGGGUUGUAAACUGCUUUUAUAAGGGAAUAAAGUGGGUCACGUGUGACUUUUUGCAUGUACCUUAUGAAUAAGGACCGGCUAAUUCCGUGCCAGCAGCCGC